rnacentral:rRNA from 1 species
CUCGUAGUCGGAGGUGUGUCUCGGACGGUCGGUUCGCCGCUUGUCGGUGCUCAACUGGCCGGUCCGGACGUCCUGCCGGUGGGGCUGUAAAAGGCUCCGUUAUCCUUCUUUGGUCCUCUUCAUUGAGUGCCUUGGUGGGCCGGCACGUUUACUUUGAACAAAUUAGAGUGCUCAAAGCAGGCCGUUGGUCGCCUGAAUACUGUGUGCAUGGAAUAAUGGAAUAGGACCUCGGUUCCAUUUUGUUGGUUUUCAGAACUCGAGGUAAUGAUUAAUAGGGACGGACGGGGGCAUUCGUAUUGCGACGUUAGAGGUGAAAUUCUUGGAUCGUCGCAAGACGAACCGAUGCGAAAGCAUUUGCCAAGAACGUUUUCGUUGAUCAAGAACGAAAGUUAGAGGUUCGAAGGCGAUCAGAUACCGCCCUAGUUCUAACCAUAAACGAUGCCAGCUAGCCAUCCGCCGAAGUUCCUUAUAUGACUCGGCGGGCAGCUUCCGGGAAACCAAAGCUCUUGGGUUCCGGGGGAAGUAUGGUUGCAAG